CCCUUAGAUGUCCUGGGCCGCACGCGCGCUACACUGAUGCAUGCAACGAGUUUAUAACCUUGGCCUGAAAGGUCUGGGUAAUCUUUUGAACGUGCAUCGUGAUAGGGAUAGAUUAUUGCAAUUGUUAAUCUUGAACGAGGAAUUCCUAGUAGACGUAGUUCAUCAGACUGCAUCGAUUACGUCCCUGCCCUUUGUACACACCGCCCGUCGCUCCUACCGAUUGAAUGCUCAGGUGAGCCAUUCGGACUUUCAUCAUGCUGGUUUCCAGUUUUGAUGAAGGAAAGUCUUGCGAACCUUAUCAUUUAGAGGAAGGAGAAGUCGUAACA
rnacentral:rRNA from 1 species